AGAUUUAAGUCGUAUUCAUAUUUGAAUAGGAGCUAAUUAUCUGGUUCACUUAAAUCUGAUCUAAUUUGAGUCUAAUUUGAAUUGUAUGAAUUCAAAUUCUCAAUUACCUACAAAAUAGACUAGAAAGCAUCAAAAUUUAAUAAAAUAACAUCAAUUAUCAUAAUAUUUAAUAUCUCUAGUAACUUAAAUUAAGUGUUCAUCAGCGAACCCUGCCACU
rnacentral:lncRNA from 1 species